GACGAACUGUCCAAACGUUGUUCGGAAUCACUGGGCUUAAAGGGCGCGUAGGCGGUCGAUCAAGUCAGGGGUGAAAUCCUGCAGCUUAACUGUAGAAGUGCCUUUGAUACUGGUCGUCUCGAGGGAGGUAGGGGUGUGUGGAACUUCCAGUGGAGCGGUGAAAUGCGUAGAUAUCUGGAGGAACACCGGUGGCGAAGGCGGCAUCCUGGACCGACACUGACGCUGAGGAGCGAAAGCCAGGGGAGCAAACGGG
rnacentral:rRNA from 1 species